GUGAUCGUAGUUCAAUUGGUUAGAGCACAGGAUUGUGGAUCCUGUUGUUGUGGGUUCGAGUCCCAUCGAUCACCC
rnacentral:tRNA from 1 species